UGUUACUGUAAAUAUGAAAGUCCAGGUAUUUUGAUAGGCAUGUGAGAUCUAUAUUUUUCUCAUUUAUUACUGUAAAUAUGAAAAUCUAGGUAAAAAUGAUGUGCAUGCGUGUGUGUUACUUAUGUGCACUCAUCAAUGUAAAUAUGCUAGGUUUUUUGUGCACAAGUUAGUGGGUGAGGUUUCUCAUGUCUAGUUUUUUUAUAUCCAGAAACUAAUCAUUAAAUGUUGAAUUUUGUUACUUGUUAUUUUCAUAGGUGCUCGUACGGAUAUAGUCUAAUAUGACUGCUCCAUUUCUCAGUGCUACCAUGGCCGAUGGUGUUGUCAUUCUUGGCCAUGGCCUUCCUGUGUUGUGCUGCUAGUGUUGCGGUGACAGUAAGGAUUGGAGUUGAUCAGUUGAGGGAAGGAGAACUCAGGUGAUGAAUUUUGUCUUUUCAUGGAAAUGUUCAUUUUACAAUUUAGUAUGCUUAUUUGUAGUUUGUUCAAUACUGUUAAUUAAUGUUUACUUUGAAUUUA